rnacentral:rRNA from 1 species
GACGAACCGUGCGAACGUUGUUCGGAAUCACUGGGCUUAAAGGGCGCGUAGGCGGGCGGUCAAGUCAGAGGUGAAAGCCCACGGCUCAACCGUGGAAGUGCCCCUGAUACUGAUCGUCUCGAGGGAGGUAGGGGCGUGCGGAACUUCCGGUGGAGCGGUGAAAUGCGUAGAUAUCGGAAGGAACACCGAUGGCGAAAGCAGCGCGCUGGAUCUCUACUGACGCUGAGGCGCGAAAGCCAGGGGAGCAAACGGG